AUUGAACGCUGGCGGCAUGCCUUACACAUGCAAGUCGAACGGUAACGCGGGGCAACCUGGCGACGAGUGGCGAACGGGUGAGUAAUGCAUCGGAACGUGCCCAGUAGUGGGGGAUAGCCCGGCGAAAGCCGGAUUAAUACCGCAUACGACCUACGGGUGAAAGGGGGGGAUCGCAAGACCUCUCGCUAUUGGAGCGGCCGAUGUCAGAUUAGGUAGUUGGUGGGGUAAAGGCCUACCAAGCCGACGAUCUGUAGCUGGUCUGAGAGGACGACCAGCCACACUGGGACUGAGACACGGCCCAGACGCCUACGGGAGGCAGCAGUGGGGAAUUUUGGACAAUGGGCGCAAGCCUGAUCCAGCCAUGCCGCGUGCGGGAAGAAGGCCUUCGGGUUGUAAACCGCUUUUGUCAGGGAAGAAAUCUUCUGGGUUAAUACCUCGGGGUAAUGACGGUACCUGAAGAAUAAGCACCGGCUAACUACGUGCCAGCCGCCGCGGUAA
rnacentral:rRNA from 1 species